GGAGCAAUACCCAAGCUGGCUCAAGGGGCGUCCCUGCUAAGGACGUAGAGGGAGCAAUCCCUGCUAGAGUUCGAAUCUCUAUUGCUCCGCCA
rnacentral:tRNA from 2 species